CCCAUAGAAGCCACCAGAUGUCACUAUUGGAGUUGUACUAUCUGGUGCUGUAUCUCUAGGCAGAACCACUUUGGCUCCAAACUCUCUUGGGUAUGCGAUAGAAAGAAAGAAAGUUCUCAAAUAUAUAUUAUUAAUUUUGCAAUGGUUCAGUGACCAUGUCUGUGAUACUGUAACAGGAAAAGCAAAAAGGAAGAGAAGUGGCAAAAUGUUACUGAAGGUCCCCUGAAUGAAAGGGAAUUAAGCAUGUGCAUGAAUAACAGAGGGCAGCCAAUCCCAGCACAAAGAACUCUGAGGGGAGGGGGCAGGGCUUCCGUGAGUGAUAGGAAGAUUCUUAAAGGAAGGUAGUUGGUGACAAUUGGUGGAAGACAGUUGAAGGAAUCAGUUGUGAGAAUCAGAGGGAGUGACUAUAUACUGGGUAUCUUGAUUGAAGGAAAAGAUUGGAGUCUAGAUAUGAAGCAAACAAGUAUGAUCCAAGGUGUGAAUUACCUAUAACGAUGAGAAAAACGUGGGACACUCUUCAAUUACCUGGGAGGCAAUACAGCAUCAAUGUCUUUCUCGUACCACAAGAAGAAGGCAAGGCUACAAAAAUCCUAAGGAUGUGGCUGAGUUGGUAGUAUAGGUCAUUUAUUGGGUUGCAUAGAAGGAGAAGUUGCAACCUUCUGUGUGUUUGUUCCUGUAACAGCACUGUGUGUAACACAUUAAAGGAAGACAAACAUUCAAAUAUUUGGGAAGGUUUGGUGGCUCCACAAUAGUCAGCUACUGCAGCUAUAUGGCAGAAACCAUGAAUGAGAUGACAAUUAUUUUGGAAAGUCAUUUUAUUUUAAAUGGGUGAUGGCAUUAUUUGAAUGGUGCAAUUGGAGAGAACUGCUAUGGAAAGUAUUAAUGUGAAGAAUAAUAUGUAGAUAUGUUAAAACAUAGGGAUAAUCAAGAUAUCUGAUCAAAGUGAACCAAAUCCCCCAUUUUGCUAUAUUAGUUAUCACUAGAGUUGCCACAUGGAACAAGAUUAAUGGGGGUUUCCUCCUCUGAUUAAAAACUUGAAGAACAAAUAUAAAUGAUACCUUGAGAAUUUUGAUGAGAUAAGUGAAAUUUCAAGGCAAGUUAAAGUCUUGCAUACUCAUAGGUUGCCACAGGACUUUACUUACAGUAGAUUUCAAAACAAAUGAUUUUUUCCUUGUUUUAGUUAAAUGUUUUAAGUAAUGUUGAAAAAAGUUUCAAAAGAAUAGCAAAAAAUAUUAGGGCGAUUUUGCACCUCCCAACUUAUUUAUGAGGAUGGAAGGAAAGAAUGAAAUAAGAAACAUUUGUUUUUCAGCUUUUGUACCAGGGCUCUGGGAACUGAAGAAUCUAUCUAUAGUUCUCUGGUCAUUGGAUCAAUCAGUGUCUUUGUUCUUUAAAUUUUAAUUGCUCCUAGUGCCUAAAAAAGACAGCCAGAAUAAUAAAGCAAAAGACUGAGGGCAAUCUUUCUUUUCCGCUCAAGAUGCAUAGGCUGUCAGGCUGAGAAGAAAUUCACUAUGGAAAGGAUGAAGAAACUUUUUUGAAGUUAUUGAAGUAAAUGUGUGUCAAGUCGAACAGGAAAGACAGAGCUCACCAUAAAUUUAAGGCAUGUUCAGCUCAUGAAGUCAAAUGACAAGCAGUGUCGCAAACACACACCAUGUCACAGAAUCUUAGAAUUGUAGAGUUGGAAGACACAGCAAGGACCAAACAGUCCAACCCCUUGCCAUAUCUUAACAUAGCCCUCCUAAGACUAUCUUGGGUGGCUGAGCCCCUCCUGAAAUGACCAGGGACCAAGGACUAGGACUACCAGGGUUGCCUAUGUAGCUGAGCGCUCCAAGGAACUACAGUAGAGUCUCACUUAUCCAAGCUAAACGGGCCGGCAGAAGCUUGGAUAAGCGAAUAACUUGGAUAAUAAGGAGGGAUUAAGGAAAAGCCUAUUAAACAUCAAAUUAAGUUAUGAUUUUACAAAUUAAGCACCAAAACUUCAUGUUAUACAACAAAUUUGACAGAAAAAGUAGUUCAAUACGCAGUAAUGUUAUGUUGUAAUUACUGUAUUUAAGAAUUUAGCACCAAAAUAUCACGAUAUAUUGAAAACAUUGACUACAAAAAUGGCUUGGAUUAUCCAGAGGCUUGGAUAAGCGAGGCUUGGAUUAGUGAGACUCUACUGUACCACUGAAAAUGUUCUAACGUAUAACAAUCUUUGGGUUGUUGUAUUCUUUUGGGCUGUGUGGCCAUGUUCCAGAAAUAUUCUCUCCAGACGUUUCGCCCACAUCUAUGGCAGGCAUCCUCAGAGGUUGUGAGAUAUAGACAAACUAAGUAAGGAAAGGUAAGAAUAUGUAUCUGUCUAGAGUCCAGGGUGUGGCAAGAGUCCUUUUUCACUGGGAAGCCAGCAUUAAUGUUUCAGUUAAUCAUCCUAAUUAGCAUUGGAAAGGUUUUGUCUCUUGCCUGGGGGCAUCCUUUGUUCAGUCAUUAGCUGUCCUCUGCCCUCAGAGUGUUGGUUCCCAUCUACUGUUUUGAUUUUAGAGUUUUUUAAUACUGGUAGCCAGAUUUUGUUCAUUUUCAUGGUUUCCUCCUUUCUGUUGAAGUUGUCCACAUGCUUGUGGAUUUCAAUGGUUUCUCUGUGUAGUCUGACAUGAUAGUUGUUGGAAUGGUCCAGCAUUUCUGUGUUCUCAAAUAAUAUCCUAAUGUAUAACAAUCUUUGUAUUUGCUUCAAAGUGUCUUGCUUAUUUUUUCCUCUUUAUACUGUGAACAGUUUUACAAUAUUUAACUUAUAUUUGGUCAUUGUCCUUAUGGUAGUCACAUUAUCUGCACCACCACUACUACUACUACUACUACUACUACUACUCCGUUUUACUGAUUUGUGCAAACAUACUGUAAAGAUGUCAUGAUCAUUGUGUUUUAUUCAUGAUUGCUAUGUUUAGGUUGACUGUUUAAGGUUAUAUAUUUCAGCUGUUCUUGUACAGAAGCUGGGAGCCUCUGGGGCAUGGCCAGGAAAAGGGGCGUGGCUUCACCUUGCUGGUGGAAGCCUUAGAAUUCAAAAUUUAGCAGUUGGAAUUCGGCAGUUGGAGUUUGUCGGUUGAGCAGAGCAGUUGGUUCUAUUCAGUGGGAAAGGAGUGUGAUCGAAAUAAAGAGAUGGUGGGAGGAAGUUGAGCAGCUAGAGAGUUUUAGCGGAGAAGGGCUAAAACUAAAGUUGCUGAGCCUUUAGUAGGAAUAACUAAAGAGCUGAGGUUACAUCCCUAAGUCAUAGAAGGACUAGGGUCAACCAGUUAAACUCCCCAGUCCAAGUUUGAUCGGGUACAGAUCAAUUUAGUUCAAGAAGGACAGUAUUCCUGACUGAAAGAAACAAGUCUUAUAAAGCUAAUACCAUACUAAGCUCAGUGAAACGAUUGAAAAGUCUUGCAACACUUACUGUACAGAAGUAACAUCGUUCAACUUAAGUUAUAACAUUCUUGCAACCAUCAAGCUUUGUACUAUAAAUAAACAAGUUACUGUUUCUUCAAAUGUUGCUUAUUAUUUGAGCAAAGCAUCUUUCAAAGGUGGUGGCAGCGACAACAUAGAAAAGUGAAUACAUAGAGGUAGAAGGUGAACCCUUCGAAUUUUGGUGCCAAGCAGUGGGAUCUGAAGGGAUUCCAUUCUCUGUCACGUCAAGUCAUCACAUAAAUUGGUGGCAGCGGUGGGAUCCAAAAAGAUUCCAUCCUUGUCAUCACAUCAAGGCUUCACAUAAAUUGGUGGCAGCGGUGGGAUACGUGUAACAAAAACUGAUUCAGUGCCUGAAAUUCGUGUGGCAAAAGUCAGUUUGGUGCCGGAGAUCAGCUUUAGGUAAAAGGGCUGAGGUAAAACUUGUCUGGAAAUGGCCACCAGAAAACAGAAAAAGUUGGCAGAGGAGGCAGGAGAGCUUUCCUCCUCAGAUUCAGAACAAGUAACCUUGUCUGAAAUGUCUCUCAAGUAUCAAUUAGAGAUGAAGAAACUAGAGAUUGAGGAGAGAGCCAGGCAGAGAGAAUGGGAGGAGAAGCAAAGAGAGAGAGAAUGGGAGGAAAAAGAGAAAGAGAGACAAGCUGAGGAGAGAGCCAGUCAGGCAAAAUUAGAGUUGAGGAGAAUGGAAAUAGAUUUGGAGAAACAAAGAUUGACACACUCUCAACCUCACGCUGAUACCCAGGAAGGAGAUUUGAGAGCUGAAGCACCUGAUGUAAUUUUAAAAAGGUUUCCCAGAUAUAACAAGGAAGAUGAUAUAGAAAAGUUCCUUAUAUCCUUUGAAAGGUGCUGUAAAGAUUUUGAAGUGAGUGAAGACAAAUGGAUGUUAUAUCUGAGGCCACAAAUUAGUGGAAAGCUUCUAGAAAUAUACAGUGAUAUGGCUGAAGACACUCACAGAGAUUAUAAGAUGUUUAAACUGCAGGUACAACAAAAGUUUCAGUUGACGCCUGAAUUUUACAGAUUAAAGUUCAGAACUUUAAAGAGGGACAGACACCAAAGUUUUGCGCCAGUUGCUUCAAAGCAAGCUCAAUACUUUGACAGCUGGGUGAGGACUUCUGAAGUAGAUUCCUUUCUGCAACUUAAGGAACUAUUGAAGCUAGAGCAGCUCUUUCACCUAGUUCCCUCAGAAUACAGAUGGCUAAUUCAAGACCGAAACCCAAAGACAGCCAACGAAGCUGCAGUUAUGAUUGACCAGCUAAUUACCUUGAAAGAAGGUUUUAGGAAGGAGGAAGAACCAAAAGAGAAAAAACCUCUAAAGCCGACGUUUUACCCUCACGCACGCACACAGAUGCAAAGGGGAGGUUCAGGAGAAAACACCGCCUAUAGGAAGCAUGAGGCAGUUGCAGGCCAAGCCAGGCCUGAGGAAAAGAUAAAAUGUUACCAUUGUGGAAGGCCAGGGCAUCUUAGAUAUCAAUGUAACUUAAUCAAGAAAGACAGGUCUACUUUCUUUGUAAAUAGAGCUCCAAUAGAACAAGAAGUGGAACCUGAAGUUAAAUCUAGAAGCCCUGAUGUGAGGCCAAAAGAAAAACAAUGUUUAUUUAUCCUUUCGAGAGAAAUCUCUGAAGACUAUUUAGAAUCUAUUGUCAUAGAUGAGAUACACACGCAGGGAUGGAGAGACACUGGGUCGGAUGUCUGCAUUAUACGUCCUGAAGUGGUCCCACAGAGAUACCAACAUCCCUCUUCAGAGAUAAAUUUAAAGGGGAUUGGUCCGUCGAUACCAACCCCUGUAGUAUCCUUACCCAUCAAGUACAAAGGCUGGGAAGGAUUAUGGGACUUUGCUGUCUGCGCGGAUAUCCCAUACAAAUGUUUGAUUGGGAAUGAUUUAAAUGGAAAAGUUAGGAAUUGGCAGAAAGAAGCUGAUAAACAUGAAGGCAACAUGGAGGUCCACACUCCAAAAGCCAAGUGUUUGACCAUCCAAGCUAGCUCAGAGCAACUUCCUGAGUCUAGUUCGAGCAUCAUUGAGUUGGUCAGCGGAAUAGAGGGAAAACAAGAGAUACUGCGAGAGCAACUAGCAGAUGAAACAUUACAACCUUUGUUCUUGCAAGCUCAGAGCGCCACAGGAACAGAAGAAAGUAAAACUCCUAAGUUCAUACUUAAGGAGGGAGUUUUAUACAGGAAAAGUACAAACCAUAAGACUUUGAAUAAGCCAGAAACACGUACCCAAAUAGUGGUACCUGUAAACUACAGGAAACAACUGUUAGAUGUGGCCCAUGACAAUCCACAAGGAGGGCAUUUGGGGGUUAGAAAAACCACCCAAAGAAUCAGUAAGAACUUUUUCUGGCCUGGCAUGUAUCAACAUAUCAAGGAGUUUUGCAGGUCGUGCGAUACUUGCCAAAGGUUUAGCACGGGAAGAGAUAAGACCAAAGCACCUUUAGUUCCCAUGCCGGUUGUUGGGGAACCCUUUUUCCGAGUAGGGAUUGAUCUAGUUGGUCCUUUGUAUAAGCCCUGUCGGAGAGGAUACAAAUAUAUCCUCACAGUAAUAGACUAUGCAUCCAGGUAUCCAGAUGCAGUGGCUUUGACCAGUAUUGAAACUUCCACCGUAGCCAAUGCGCUGUUAUCAAUUUGGGGAAGGACUGGAUUUCCCAGAGAGCUUGUGUCAGACCUGGGGACUCAGUUCACCUCGCGGCUAAUGAAGAAGUUAUUAGAGUUGUGCGGAAUUAAACACCUAACGUCCACACCUUAUCAUCCGCAAACGAAUGGCCUAGUAGAAAACCUGAACAAAACACUAGUGAAAAUGAUCAAGGCCUAUAGCCAGCAGAGACCCCACGACUGGGACACCAAGUUGCAGCAGCUGUUAUUCGCAUAUCGAUCAGUCCCACAGGACAGCACUGGUUACUCGCCUUUUGAAUUGUUAUUCGGAAGGAAGGCUCGUGGACCCCUUGAUUUGAUCAGAGAGCACUGGGAAGCAAGCCCUACACCAGAUCCUGUUCCUGUCGACAACUACAUCAAAGAUCUUCAGUCAACAUUAAAGAUGGCCAGGGACAUCGCCCAGGAACAUCUUAUGGCGGCCCAGGAGCAACAAAAGACCCGGUACGACGCAACGUCGAGACCCCGAGACUUCAACGUCGGAGAUGAGGUCCUGUUUUUAACACCCAACAAGAACAACAAACUACAGAUAGACUGGACUGGACCGUGGAGGAUCGUCAGGAAGCAGAACCAUGUGAACUGUGACAUCUUAGAUGAACGAUUGGGGAUUGAGAAACGGGUGCAUGUAAAUAUGAUUAAGCCGUAUGUAAAUAGGUCAGCAAAUGUUUACUGUGUAGUAUCAGAGGAAGAUACAGGUCCUUUUUCAUUUUGGGAAGGUAAUAGGGAGAUACAUAGAAACUUGGAUAAAGUAACCAUAAAUUCAGACUUAUCUCCAUCACAACAAAGAGAAGUUAAAGGAAUCUUGGCUAAGUAUAAAGUCAUGUUUUUGGAUUUACCCGGGAGAGUGCAGGGAGUGCAACAUAAAAUAUGCACCGGUGACGCCGCACCGAUAGCAUCCCCUCCCUAUAGGGUAACGGGUAAGAUAAGCGAAUGCAUAGAGCAAGAGGUCAGGGAGAUGUUAGAUUUGGAUAUAAUCGUGCCAUUUAACAAGCCCUUGGGCUUCGCCCAUAGUGUUAGUAAAGAAGCCAGACAAAACCGUAAGGUUUUGCAUAGAUUACCGGCGGCUAAAUAAAAUCACCCAAAACGACAUGUAUCCGAUGCCCCGUUUGGAUGAUUUACUAGAAAGAAUUGGAAAAGCCAAAUUUAUAAGUAGUAUUGAUGAAGAUGGAGAGGAUAGGCCCAUACUAUUCCUCAGUAAGAAGUGGCAUUCUAAUGAGCUUAGCAUGUCCACAAUCGAGAAGGAAUGUUACUCGAUAAUCUGGUCCAUAAAGAAACUGAAACCAUACUUGUGGGGAAGGAAGUUUACGUUACAAACUGAUCACGCACCCCUAAGAUGGUUGGAUAAUGUAAAAGGGACCAAUAACAAAUUAUUGAGAUGGAGUUUAUCACUACAGGACUUUACCUUUGAUAUUAAACAUAUAAAGGGCAAAUGUAAUGUAGUAGCUGAUUCUCUAUCCAGAGCACCUUGAUCGGAAGACUUACAGGUUUGUAUUUAGAGUUUAAGGUAUGAUGUUAUGUUUAUGUAUAGAUAUGUAUUUUGUGUUACUCUCUAUUAUUUUUGCUUAUUCUGGGUCUAGAAAAAGCAAAAAUAAUCUUUCCGGGUUGGAAGGUAUGUAAAGAUGUCAUGAUCAUUGUGUUUUAUUCAUGAUUGCUAUGUUUAGGUUGACUGUUUAAGGUUAUAUAUUUCAGCUGUUCUUGUACAGAAGCUGGGAGCCUCUGGGGCAUGGCCAGGAAAAGGGGCGUGGCUUCACCUUGCUGGUGGAAGCCUUAGAAUUCAAAAUUUAGCAGUUGGAAUUCGGCAGUUGGAGUUUGUCGGUUGAGCAGAGCAGUUGGUUCUAUUCAGUGGGAAAGGAGUGUGAUCGAAAUAAAGAGAUGGUGGGAGGAAGUUGAGCAGCUAGAGAGUUUUAGCGGAGAAGGGCUAAAACUAAAGUUGCUGAGCCUUUAGUAGGAAUAACUAAAGAGCUGAGGUUACAUCCCUAAGUCAUAGAAGGACUAGGGUCAACCAGUUAAACUCCCCAGUCCAAGUUUGAUCGGGUACAGAUCAAUUUAGUUCAAGAAGGACAGUAUUCCUGACUGAAAGAAACAAGUCUUAUAAAGCUAAUACCAUACUAAGCUCAGUGAAACGAUUGAAAAGUCUUGCAACACUUACUGUACAGAAGUAACAUCGUUCAACUUAAGUUAUAACAUUCUUGCAACCAUCAAGCUUUGUACUAUAAAUAAACAAGUUACUGUUUCUUCAAA